ACAAUGUUUAUGGUUGUAUAUAUAACUUUUAAAUCUUUAUACUUAUUUUAGUGUUUUCAUAUGUAAAUGUGUCCUUUUUAAUUAUACUUUUGUCAGAUACCAUUUCAUAAUUUUCCAGUCAAUGUAUACACCUAACAUUCUUGAUACUUUCUCCCAUUAGCCUUUGUAGGCAGGAUCCUCCCUGCGAAGCUUCUUUCCAGCACUAAUAAACAAUGAUAGUCCCUUCUACAGGUUUUGUCCCACAAAACAGGCCCGUAGCCUUAGUCUUAUCCACACUCACUAACAAUUUAGGCACACUUAAGGGCUCUUUCAAGCCCCAUGGAGCAUCAAUCUGGAACUUGGUAAAAAAAUGCAGCCUGUGGUUACACAUAACACUCACCAUCUUGGGAAAGGGCUGAGUUCCCAGCAAAUUACAGCUAGAAAUUAUGCAGGUGGCAUAUUUGGAUCUUUGUUUCAAUCAGUUUUGACGUGAAACUGGGAAUAAGUGGUUAUUCCCUCGCCCAGUCAUCUGGCCUAAAAUCUAGUGGGUUUAGAUAUAUGUAGUUUGCAGUGUCCAAUAAAAACAAGGGCUUAAAAUGGAAGACCUUGAUACAAAGUGGUGUAAAAGCACUCUCUGUUCCAGUAAAGACAGAAGAAAGAAUUCCUCUCUUUUUAACACUGAAGAAACAUGAUGACAAUAUUGGGUGUCACACUGAAUUCAGGAAAACAGAACAUUUUGCCAAGGAUGAAAACAUUAUUUGAAGCCCUUCACCAGGAGCAAAUGCUAUCAUUUCACAACAGAUGGAAAAACACUACAGAAAAUAGCAUCAAAGAUAUCUUUGCCAUAGAAUCUUAAAAAUCAGGUUCCAAGCAUAAAUAAUGGCAUUUAUGAGUAUACUUGCAGAGAUCAAUUUUAAAUUUGUAUGUUAAAGAGAAUAUACUGAGACAAGAGGAGAGUUCAGUGGCACAGAUAUGCACCAGAAUGCGGCUUAAGUGGUUUCUUCAGCACUAGAAAAAUUAAAGAUUAAUAUUUUGCCAAGAACCAUGUCUUGGGAGAUACUAAAACUAACAAAAAAAGAUGGAAAAACGAUCAAAUUGGGCCAAGCGAAAGGUUUCAUGGAGUAUCCCCAAUUGAUGAGUGCAGAAUGAAGCUAAGAAACAUGCUCCCUGAGAGCUAAGUCUUCCUCCAAGCACGCCAGGGAGGAGCAAAGCCAUAGUGCCAAAGCCCAGCAUCAUGGCCCUAAAAUGAGAGAUGCAUACAGUCCUUGAUACUUUAGAAAAUUAAAUAAAGGUUCCCAUGGGGACAGA